UACGUAGGGUGCAAGCGUUGCUCGGAAUCACUGGGCGUAAAGGGUGCGUAGGCGGGUCUUUAAGUCAGGGGGGAAAUCCUGGAGCUCAACUCCAGAACUGCCUUUGAUACUGAAGAUCUUGAGUUCGGGAGAGGUGAGUGGAACUGCGAGUGUAGAGGUGAAAUUCGUAGAUAUUCGCAAGAACACCAGUGGCGAAGGCGGCUCACUGGCCCGAUACUGACGCUGAGGCACGAAAGCGUGGGGAGCAAACAGG
rnacentral:rRNA from 1 species